rnacentral:rRNA from 1 species
AGAGUUUGAUCCUGGCUCAGAUUGAACGCUGGCGGCAGGCCUAACACAUGCAAGUCGAACGGUAACAGAAAGCAGCUUGCUGCUUUGCUGACGAGUGGCGGACGGGUGAGUAAUGUCUGGGAAACUGCCUGAUGGAGGGGGAUAACUACUGGAAACGGUAGCUAAUACCGCAUAACGUCGCAAGACCAAAGAGGGGGACCUUCGGGCCUCUUGCCAUCGGAUGUGCCCAGAUGGGAUUAGCUAGUAGGUGGGGUAAAGGCUCACCUAGGCGACGAUCCCUAGCUGGUCUGAGAGGAUGACCAGCCACACUGGAACUGAGACACGGUCCAGACUCCUACGGGAGGCAGCAGUGGGGAAUAUUGCACAAUGGGCGCAAGCCUGAUGCAGCCAUGCCGCGUGUAUGAAGAAGGCCUUCGGGUUGUAAAGUACUUUCAGCGGGGAGGAAGGGAGUAAAGUUAAUACCUUUGCUCAUUGACGUUACCCGCAGAAGAAGCACCGGCUAACUCCGUGCCAGCAGCCGCGGUGAUACGGAGGGUGCAAGCGUUAAUCGGAAUUACUGGGCGUAAAGCGCACGCAGGCGGUUUGUUAAGUCAGAUGUGAAAUCCCCGGGCUCAACCUGGGAACUGCAUCUGAUACUGGCAAGCUUGAGUCUCGUAGAGGGGGGUAGAAUUCCAGGUGUAGCGGUGAAAUGCGUAGAGAUCUGGAGGAAUACCGGUGGCGAAGGCGGCCCCCUGGACGAAGACUGACGCUCAGGUGCGAAAGCGUGGGGAGCAAACAGGAUUAGAUACCCUGGUAGUCCA